rnacentral:siRNA from 1 species
AGGAUAUGAUCCGCGGUAUACUGC